AGUGGGGGGUGGGGGGACUCUCAGCCUGGAUUGUGAGAAGGCGCAGGUCAGGCUGAGGUACCCCACCAUGCACG
rnacentral:pre_miRNA from 1 species